rnacentral:rRNA from 1 species
GGCCAGACUCCUACAGGAGGCAGCAGUGGGGAAUUUUGGACAAUGGGCGCAAGCCUGAUCCAGCUAUUCCGCGUGUGGGAUGACGGCCCUCGGGUUGUAAACCACUUUAGUAGAGAACGAAAAGGAGCUAUCGAAUAAAUAGCUCUGCUGACGGUACUCUAAGAAUAAGCACCGGCUAACUACGUGCCAGCAGCCGCGGUAAUACGGAGGAUGCGAGCGUUAUCCGGAUUUAUUGGGUUUAAAGGGUGCGCAGGCGGAAUGUCAAGUCAGCGGUAAAAUUUCGGGGCUCAACCCCGUCGUGCCGUUGAAACUGGCAGUCUCGAGUUGGAGAGAAGUAUGCGGAAUCCGCGGUGUAGCGGUGAAAUGCAUAGAUAUCGCGCAGAACUCCGAUUGCGAAGGCAGCAUGCCGGCUCCACACUGACGCUGAGGCACGAAAGCGUGGGUAUCGAACAGGAUUAGAUCCCCCAGUAAA